rnacentral:pre_miRNA from 1 species
AAAAAAAAAACCUAACCUAGGAGUUCGAUGGGACAUAAGAUUAUGUCUCAUCCAACUUCUAGGUUAGUUUUUUUUUU